AUGCUCUAAACUAAGCACUGUUUCAAGCUCUGGGUGAAUGCUUAGAGUUAUUAAUCUGAUGAAAGAUAAACCUUUGCCUCAGUUACAUGUCUGAAGAAUAGAAUCAAGUUAGCAUUAUAGUACCACUACAUGAAAGAUUGGCUUUUUUCUUUCUUUCCAUAAAGGCUACAUUUCUUGAGUGUACCAAGACUGCUGUAAGAUGAAUGUGAGAGAAAUAUAAUAAAACAGUGACCUAAGGAUAUGCAGCCCAUUUUAUUUGGUGUCAGUUUGGUCCUAGAACACAACAGCAAUGAUGACACCUUUCUAAAACAAACAUAUUUCUAUUUGUUUAACAAUCCCGUGCGAAUAGGCAGAUGCUAACAUCUAAUUUUGAUUGUAAACUAAAAAAUUUUUGGUCAAUUUAUCAAGUUUGACAGAUUGUAUUAUUGCAGGUCUUUGGGAUGACCUCUAGGGGACAGUGAUAGAAAAUCUCAACCAAAACGUUUAGAACCACACAGUAAAGGAAGCCGAUGUUUGGAGUCUGUUUCUUGAUUAGUUUUGUUAGGUUAGCAUUACAAUGGGUACAUUCAAAUUAAAAUGAUAAUAAUACAAUCCGUUUUUUGUACAAGUAAAGCCAUAAAGGAUGUCUGUUUGUUGCCAUAGUUGACCGUUAUACAGCUAAUUGCUAUCCUUUUUUUGUAGCAUUAGAAAGUUGUCGAAGAAGCGAGAAUGUUUGACUUCCUCUUUGAAGCACAUUUUGGACACCGACAGUUCCACGAAAAGCCGGGAAACAGCAUUUGAAAAAGAAGCCGUUUAUUUUAAAGUCGCUCGAUUGAGGGCACAGCCAAGCCGUUGAUCUCCAAACAUGGAUACGUCCUGAAGAUUAACUUCAAAUCUGGCAACAUUCGACCUCAACAACAUCUUUGCUUUGGUACACCGAGGAAUGAUUAAAUCUUUGCUUCAGUCCUGAUGGAAAUGCAAAUUUAAUCCACAAACUGCAUGGAGAUGCUCCCGAUAAGAUUAACUAUCUCAGACUGCUUA